rnacentral:rRNA from 1 species
GAUGAACGCUGGCGGCGUGCCUAAUACAUGCAAGUCGAGCGAACAGACGAGGAGCUUGCUCCUCUGACGUUAGCGGCGGACGGGUGAGUAACACGUGGAUAACCUACCUAUAAGACUGGGAUAACUUCGGGAAACCGGAGCUAAUACCGGAUAAUAUAUUGAACCGCAUGGUUCAAUAGUGAAAGACGGUUUUGCUGUCACUUAUAGAUGGAUCCGCGCCGCAUUAGCUAGUUGGUAAGGUAACGGCUUACCAAGGCAACGAUGCGUAGCCGACCUGAGAGGGUGAUCGGCCACACUGGAACUGAGACACGGUCCAGACUCCUACGGGAGGCAGCAGUAGGGAAUCUUCGGCAAUGGGCGAAAGCCUGACGGAGCAACGCCGCGUGAGUGAUGAAGGUCUUCGGAUCGUAAAACUCUGUUAGUAGGGAAGAACAAAUGUGUAAGUAACUAUGCACGUCUUGACGGUACCUAAUCAGAAAGCCACGGCUAACUACGUG